AACUGUUGAGGUGGGAACCGCCACCCCACGCACUUGGCCGCAAAGCCAAGUAAUUAACCGCCGUAAGGCGGCCAAGAGAUCGCGGUUGGCAACGCGCGACAGUU
rnacentral:ncRNA from 12 species